rnacentral:rRNA from 1 species
UCNAAUUAUAAAAUUUUGGAAUAGUAAUAAUAAUGAAAUUUAACGGAUUUGGCGGCAAGAUAGCCAUUUAGAGGAACCUGCCCUGUAAACGAUGAGCCACGAAUAACAUUACUUUUAUUUGUAACCAGUUUGUAUAUCGCUGUUGUCAGUUAGUUUCUUUAGAAAACUUUCUAUUAUAAAAAAAUUAAAGACUUCAAGUAAAGGUGCAGCUAAUAUAAAAGUUAGAGGUGGGUUACAUUAUAGGAUUAAUACGGAUUAAGUUUUUGNAAUAACUUUUGAAGGUGGAUUUAAUAGUAAAGUNUAUAAAAACUNGAUAAAGGCUCUNUCNUGU